rnacentral:tRNA from 1 species
GCCUUUGUGGUGCAGUGGUCAGCACGCUUGACACAUAACCGAGAGGUCCGUGGUUCGAUUCCCGGCGAAGGCG